rnacentral:ncRNA from 12 species
AAAGAUAGAGGACGGAACGGGCAGCCGUCGCCUUUAUUGGAGAUGCGGGAGUGUCGCCCCGCCUAUUUUU